rfam:Schistosoma haematobium scaffold474_41, whole genome shotgun sequence.
GCACUGCUGAGGAGUUCCAUAACAGGAUGAAACGGACGUCUAGUAC